rnacentral:tRNA from 1 species
GGCAGUGUGGCCUAGUGGAAAGAGUAUGGGAGUCAGGAGACUUGGGUUCUAAUCCCAGCUCUGCCA